UUACUUACCUGGCAGGUGCUUCACCCAGAGCCAGACUCGAUCAUUGCACUGAGGUUGUGCUGACCCCUGCAAAUUCCCCAAAUGUGGAAAUAUCGACUGCAUAAUUUCUGCUGUUGGGGAACUGUGUUAGCAAACUCCCCUG
ensembl:snRNA U1 U1 spliceosomal RNA